rnacentral:rRNA from 1 species
AUAGGGGGUCUGAGAGGAAGGUCCCCCACAUUGGAACUGAGACACGGUCCAAACUCCUACGGGAGGCAGCAGUGAGGAAUAUUGGUCAAUGGACGAGAGUCUGAACCAGCCAAGUAGCGUGAAGGAUGACUGCCCUAUGGGUUGUAAACUUCUUUUAUAUGGGAAUAAAGGAGCCUACGUGUAGGUUUUUGUAUGUACCAUACGAAUAAGGAUCGGCUAACUCCGUGCCAGCAGCCGCGGUAAUACGGAGGAUCCAAGCGUUAUCCGGAUUUAUUGGGUUUAAAGGGAGCGUAGGUGGAGGCUUAAGUCAGUUGUGAAAGUUUGCGGCUCAACCGUAAAAUUGCAGUUGAUACUGGGUUUCUUGAGUACAGUAGAGGUGGGCGGAAUUCGUGGUGUAGCGGUGAAAUGCUUAGAUAUCACGAAGAACUCCGAUUG